rnacentral:rRNA from 1 species
GGCAGCGCGGGAGCAAUCCUGGCGGCGAGUGGCGAACGGGUGAGUAAUACAUCGGAACGUGCCCAAUCGUGGGGGAUAACGCAGCGAAAGCUGUGCUAAUACCGCAUAAGAUCUACGGAUGAAAGCAGGGGAUCGCAAGACCUUGCGCGAAUGGAGCGGCCGAUGGCAGAUUAGGUAGUUGGUGAGGUAAAGGCUCACCAAGCCUUCGAUCUGUAGCUGGUCUGAGAGGACGACCAGCCACACUGGGACUGAGACACGGCCCAGACUCCUACGGGAGGCAGCAGUGGGGAAUUUUGGACAAUGGGCGAAAGCCUGAUCCAGCCAUGCCGCGUGCAGGAUGAAGGCCUUCGGGUUGUAAACUGCUUUUGUACGGAACGAAACGGCUCUUUCUAAUAAAGAGGGCUAAUGACGGUACCGUAAGAAUAAGCACCGGCUAACUACGUGCCAGCAGCCGCGGUAAUACGUAGGGUGCAAGCGUUAAUCGGAAUUACUGGGCGUAAAGCGUGCGCAGGCGGUAAUGUAAGACAGUUGUGAAAUCCCCGGGCUCAACCUGGGAACUGCAUCUGUGACUGCAUUGCUGGAGUAC